CUUUUAAUCAUAUACUCACAUGAUAUACUAUUUUAUGUAUUUCAAGCAAUUGUAUUUUAGGUGAGUGUGUAUUACAGGGUGCAGAAGGUGGUCAAUUUUUCAAUUAUUUAACUCUAUGGACUUUUGACUAUUUAGUUUUCAUUCUGAUAAAGGUAACAACUAACAGAGUUCUUACCAAGUUCCAGGUACCAUUCUAAAUUGUACAUAAACAUGGCAGACACAUUGUACUGUGGGAAGAAAAAUGUUUGCGUACAUGAAGAAGAUAGAUUAAAGAAUAUGUAGUCUUUUGCAAAAAUAAGAACUUAAAUCCAU
rnacentral:lncRNA from 1 species